GGAUAGCUCAGAUGGUUAGAGCGUCGGAUUCAUAACCCGGAGGUCCUGAGUUCAAUUCUCA
rnacentral:tRNA from 1 species